GUGAAUCAUCGAAUUUUUGAACGCAAAUUGCACUCACCGGUUUUCCGGGGGAGUAUGCCUGUUGGAGGGUAAGCGUAAAUAAAAUCUGCUUAGGAGUUUGGUGGGUUUUUCACGGUAACGUUGAGCGGAAUUUGGGUCAUCGUAAACCGAAAGGUUUGUAAGCGACUUAAAAUUUUCUUACGAUCUCGCGAACGUUUCUAAGAUCUUCUUGCACGUUCAAGGAAUCGAUAUUGGACGUAACC
rnacentral:misc_RNA from 1 species